UCGUCUUUUGCUUUUUUAACAUAAAAGAUAAUGCCUGCCCAGUGAACUACAAUAUUUUUAACGGCCGCGUUAGCGUGAGCGUGCUAAGGUAGCGUAAUAAAUAGCCUUUUAAUUGAAGGCCAGUGAAUGGCAAGACUAGGAAUACCUCUACCAGAUAUGGCAAAAAAACUUUUCAUCUGAGUGAAAAGACUCAGAUACUUAAGGAAGACGAAAAGACCCCGCGGAGCUUAACUUAAUAAAUUUUAUAAUAAAACAAUAAAAUUUUAAAAGUUUGAUUGGGGCAAUCUUGGAACAAAAAUAACUUCCAAUCUAAUAAACAAAAACAUAAAAAGCUUACUAAGAACUAUAAAGCAGCUACCCCGGGGAUAACAGCGUUAUCCAGCUUGAGAGUACAUAUCGAAAGCCGGGUUUGCGACCUCGAUGUUGGCUUAAGGGUAUCCACAUUAGUGCAGCCGCUAUGAAAGGAUAGUCUGUUCGACUAUUGCACCCUUA
rnacentral:rRNA from 1 species